UUCCACAAGGGGAGCCUAAUAUGGCUGAGAGUGAGCGAGUUCGUUCUGACCCUAAGAACCUGUUAGAUAAUGCUAGCGUAGGGAUCGUGGUUU
rnacentral:ncRNA from 1 species